CGAUGCCAACUAGCGAUUCGCCGAUGGAUAAUUUAUUGCCUUGGCGAGGAGCUUCCCGGAAACGAAAGUCUUCCGGUUCCGGGGGAAGUAUGGUUGCAAAGCUGAAACUUAAAGGAAUUGACGGAAGGGCACCACCAGGAGUGGAGCCUGCGGCUUAAUUUGACUCAACACGGGAAAACUCACCCGGCCCGGACACUAUAAGGAUUGACAGAUUGAUAGCUCUUUCAUGAUUUGGUGGAUGGUGGUGCAUGGCCGUUCUUAGUUCGUGGAGUGAUUUGUCUGGUUUAUUCCGAUAACGAGCGAGACUCUAGCCUACUAAAUAGUUUACUCAUUUGAUUCAUUUUAUUUUUCUCUCUUUCAUUUCCUUUCCCCCCCAAUUAUUUUUCUCUUAAUCGGGGGAGAGUAGUUGGGAAGGGGGGGGAAUUGGAAGUGGGGAUUAAAAUAUUAUGAUUGUGUAGUUGAACUUCCUAGAGGGAUUCUCAGUGUUUAACGAGGUGAAAUGGAGCAAUAACAGGUCUGUGAUGCCCUUAGAUGUCCGGGGCUGCACGCGCGCUACACUGGUAAAGUCAGCGUGUUUUUUCCUUUCUCGAAAGAGAUUGGUAAACCAGUGAAAUUUUACCGUGAUUGGGAUCGGAAAUUGCAAUUAUUUUCUGUGAACGAGGAAUUCCAAGUAAGUGUGAGUCAUCAACUCGCGCUGAUUACGUCCCUGCCCUUUGUACACACCGCCCGUCGCUGCCCGGGACUGAGCCAUUUCGAGAAAUUUGGGGAUUGCUGUCUAACGGUUUUGCAUUCAUGUGUGGAAUUGUUUUAUGG
rnacentral:rRNA from 1 species